rnacentral:rRNA from 2 species
GAGUACGUGAAACCGUUUAGGGGUAAACCUGAGAAACCCGAAAGGUCGAAGGGAGAAAUUCAUUCGCGUCUCGUCAUCGGCGAUUAGCUGUAGCGCGACGAAAUCGAUUCGUCGAUUUCGCGCCUUCAGUUUGUCGAACCGGAGUCGAACGCGUGCACUUUUCUCCUGGUAGGACGUCGCGAUCCGUUGGGUGUCGGUCUACGGCUCACGGUGGAGUCCGUUCGUCGUCGUUUUUCACGAAACGUGUACGAACGAACCCGUGUGUUUCCCGGCCGACUCGCUCGACGGUAUACGAAUGGUUCGGAGCCGCUUUAAAAGCGUUCGACUCGCGGCAAGCGCGUCAGAUGUCGUUGGCAAUCGGACCCGGUGCCGAUUCUAACCUCUGAUGACUGUUGGCCGCGAAGUUCUCGAACAGACUCCGUUUCUCGCCCUCCGGGACGAGAAAAAACCGAUCUGCGACGCUAUAGCUUUGGGUACUUUCAGG